AUGCCCGAGAGGCCGUCAUUCAAAAUAGUCAUCUUGGAAGCCACAUGCUCCUUUAAAACCAUCUUGGAGAAUCUGUUUGGGACUUUUCUUCAAAGUUCGUUUAUGAAAAAGAUCAUCCUACUCUUGAUUUCUUUUUAUAAGGCUCUGGCACAGGGCAUCUCACUGCAGGAUAAACUCAAACGCCUCAAAAUGAAUUCGAAUAAAGCCACUUUUUGUGAGCAUGAAACUGAGAUACUGAUUGUCAAGCAGUUACCUUUUGACACUGGUUCAGGUGAUCAAAUGAUCUUUUACUGCCUCAUCAGAGCAGCUGCAGUGGAACAAGAAGUCUGAGCAUGUGACGACAGUUCUCCUGGAGGGCUAACAGACAGUGGACAAGUCAUUACUCAAAGUCAUCACGAUUCGGCACACAUCUGUUCAGACAGUGGAACAUUCCUGUCUACUUGACAUCUAGUUGUAUGAAUCAUCCGAAGGCUGAUUUAUGUUCCUAUCUGCCAUCACAAGCAAAUGGAAGACGAUCCUAUGAGUGAUGACUGUUUCCAUUUUCCGUUUACAUGUCUGACCAGCUUUCUCUCUCAUUGCCCCAAUAUAUAGUCUGUUUUCUGUUACUAUCACAGAUUACCUUAGGCUGAGCAUUUGGAAAAUAAACAGGUUUAUUCAGCUCACAGUUAUGGAGGUUGAAAGUCCAAGAUGACAUUACCCCAUCUGUUUGGCCUCUGGUAAGGGCCUCUUGGUUAUGUCACAAUAUGGUGGAAGAAUAAAAAGGGAAGUAGCCACAG
rnacentral:lncRNA from 1 species